rnacentral:rRNA from 1 species
GACGAACCGUCCAAACGUUAUUCGGAAUCACUGGGCUUACAGAGUUCGUAGGCGGUCUGGAAAGUUGGGUGUGAAAUCCCUCGGCUCAACCGAGGAACUGCGCUUGAAACUACCAGACUCGAGGGAGAUAGAGGAAAGCGGAACUGAUGGUGGAGCGGUGAAAUGCGUUGAUAUCAUCAGGAACACCGGUGGCGAAGGCGGCUUUCUGGGUCUUACCUGACGCUGAGGCACGAAGGCCAGGGGAGCAAACGGG